GCUUAACACAUGCAAGUCGAGGGGCAGCGGGAUCUAAGCUUGCUAAGAUAGACGGCGACCGGCGCACGGGUGAGUAACACGUAUCCAAUCUACCCCUGACUCAGGGAUAGCCCGCUGAAAAUGAGAUUAAUACCCGAUGUUCUGCUAUGAAGACAUCUGAACAAGAACAAAGAUAUAUCGCUAAUGGAUGAGGAUGCGUCUGAUUAGGCAGUAGGCGGGGUAACGGCCCACCUAGGCGACGAUCAGUAGGGGUUCUGAGAGGAAGGUCCCCCACAUUGGUACUGAGACACGGACCAAACUCCUACGGGAGGCAGCAGUGAGGAAUAUUGGUCAAUGGGCGUAAGACUGAACCAGCCAAGUAGCGUGCAGGAUGACUGCCCUAUGGGUUGUAAACUGCUUUUGUAUGGGAAUAAAGUGUGGGACGUGUCCCAGUUUGUAUGUACCGUACGAAUAAGGAUCGGCUAAUUCCGUGCCAGCAGCCGCGGUAAUACGGAAGGUGCGAGCGUUAUCCGGAUUUAUUGGGUUUAAAGGGAGCGUANGCUGGCCUUUAAGCGUGA
rnacentral:rRNA from 1 species